GGAUGAGCCCGCGGCCUAUCAGCUUGUUGGUGAGGUAAUGGCUCACCAAGGCGACGACGGGUAGCCGGCCUGAGAGGGCGACCGGCCACACUGGGACUGAGACACGGCCCAGACUCCUACGGGAGGCAGCAGUGGGGAAUAUUGCACAAUGGGCGAAAGCCUAAUGCAGCGACGCCGCGUGAGGGAUGACGGCCUUCGGGUUGUAAACCUCUUUCAGCAGGGAAGAAGCGAAAGUGACGGUACCUGCAGAAGAAGCGCCGGCUAACUACGUGCCAGCAGCCGCGGUAAUACGUAGGGCGCAAGCGUUGUCCGGAAUUAUUGGGCGUAAAGAGCUCGUAGGCGGUCUGUCGCGUCGGAUGUGAAAGCCCCGGGGCUUAACCCCCGGGUCUGCAUUCGAUACGGGCAGACUAGAGUGUGGUAGGGGAGAUCGGAAUUCCUGGUGUAGCGGUGAAAUGCGCAGAUAUCAGGAAGGAACACCGGUGGCGAAGGCGGAUCUCUGGGCC
rnacentral:rRNA from 1 species